rnacentral:rRNA from 1 species
CCUACGGGUGGCUGCAGUGAGGAAUAUUGGUCAAUGGGCGCGAGCCUGAACCAGCCAAGUAGCGAGAAGGAUGACUGCCCUACGGGUUGUAAACUUCUUUUAUAAAGGAAUAAAGUGAGUCACGUGUGCCUUUUUUUAUGUACUUUAUGAAUAAGGAUCGGCUAACUCCGUGCCAGCAGACGCGGUAAUACGGAGGAUCCGAUCGUUAUCCGGAUUUAUUGGGUUUAAAGGGAGCGUAGAUGGGUUGUUACGUCAGUUGUGAAAGUUUGCGGCUCAACCGUAAAAUUGCAAUUGAUACUGGCAGCCUUGAGUACAGUUGAGGUAGGCGGAAUUCGUGGUGUAGCGGUGAAAUGAUUAGAUAUCACGAAGAACUCCGAUUGCGAAGGCAGCCUACUAAACUGCCACUGACAUUGAUGCUCGAAAGUGUGGGUAUCAAACAGGAUUAGAUACCCCGGUAGUC